GGGCAGGUUGAGGACAGGCAGAGGUUCAGAACCAGGUCCAAGUUCGACAGGUAUAGGGCGGCAGGCAGUCUCAGGGUCAGGGCAGGUUGAGGACAGGCAGAGGUUCAGAACCAGGUCCAAGUUCGACAGGUAUAGGGCGGCAGGCAGUCUCAGGGUCAGGGCAGGUUGAGGACAGGCAGAGGUUCAGAACCAGGUCCAAGUUCGACAGGUAUAGGGCGGCAGGCAGUCUCAGGGUCAGGGCAGGUUGAGGACAGGCAGAGGUUCAGAACCAGGUCCAAGUUCGACAGGUAUAGGGCGGCAGGCAGUCUCAGGGUCAGGGCAGGCAGAAAUUCUUAACCAGGUGUCGUGUCUUUGGCAUCAUUAAAACGGAAGACAUGUUUAUCAAAUAACUCUCUGUAAUUAUUAUUACGCGAUUAAACUGAUUAAUCGUGUAACUGUAAUUAACUAGGAGGUCGGGGCACCAAGGAAAAUAUUCAGAUUACAAAGUUAUAAUUUUCCUAAUAUAACUUUCAGAUAUUAUAAUAUC
rnacentral:lncRNA from 1 species